UCUGAGUUUUAAGAACCAGUUUUGACUUUAGAAACACCUCUAUACACCUCUUACCUUUGUGAUCACUGGCGAUCUAUUCGUAUCACGCGUGAGCCCAAAAUGUAUCUCAUCCCUAGAGUGGGCAAACGGCAAACAGCUGCGUCAGAGAGUGAGUUCACCCGACGCGUAUCUGAGAGAUACUUUUGCAACGCAAAGGUAGACCGAGCUGGUCGGUUUGCUUUUUGGGUUGGCCGGUCGGUCAUAUUGUGUGCGUAGCGGCCAUGUGCUCUCUCUCUCUCUCUCUCUCCAUUUCUCUCCGAAUCGAUGAUUGUUCUCUCAGUUGGUGUAUAUUGUACAUAUUGUACACAUGAGCAACAAGUUGGGCUACAGUUUGGGUAGCCACUUUGCCUUGCCUGUGCCGCUGUCUUGCCGCUCAUUCUCGGGAACAUAAUCAGACCACCAAGUAAACUGAUACUAUGACAAAAACAACAAGAAAAGAAAGAAUAUUUUAUAUUGUUAAUAAGAAAAAGUGAAAUUGUGAAAAACUUGUGUAUCGACAACAAACCGACCUUUUGCAAAAAAAAAAAAAUUUAAAUAAAAAUAAAAAAAAGUUUGCGUUUUUUUUUUUAUUAUUAUUGUCGUAACAACAGGCUCAGAGACAAGCGACAUAUGACAAU